GUUUCCAUUUUAAAUAAAAAAAAAAAAAAAAAAAAAAAAAAUGCCCCUUCCAUGGUUACAAGCGUUUUGCUUGACAUACGGGGGAUGUUGAACUGUGAAGUAAUAUAGUCCGUAUCUAGGUCUCCGUUCCUGCACCCGCUCGGUGGAAAAAAAAAAAACGUAACAAGGUUUCCGUAGGUGAACCUGCGGAAGGAUCAUUACCGAGUUGAUUCGAGCUCCGGCUCGACUCUCCCACCCUUUGUGUACCUACCUCUGUUGCUUUGGCGGGCCCGCGGUUCGGCCUCGUGCCGUCCAGCACCCGCCAGAGGACCACAAAACUCCAGUCAGUGAACGUCUCAGUCUGAAAAACAAGUUAAUAAACUAAAACUUUCAACAACGGAUCUCUUGGUUCUGGCAUCGAUGAAGAACGCAGCGAAAUGCGAUAAGUAAUGUGAAUUGCAGAAUUCAGUGAAUCAUCGAAUCUUUGAACGCACAUUGCGCCCCUUGGUAUUCCGGGGGGCAUGCCUGUUCGAGCGUCAUUUCAACCCUCAAGCUCUGCUUGGUAUUGGGCUCCGUCCUCAGGGACGCGCCUCAAAGACCUCGGCGGUGGCGUCUUGCCUCAAGCGUAGUAGAAAACACCUUCGCUUUGGAGCGCACGGCGUCGCCCGCCCGGACGAACCUUUGAAUUUUUCUCAAGGUUGACCUCGGAUCAGGUAGGGAUACCCGCUGAACUUAAGCAUAUCAAAAGGCGGAGGAAUGCCGAAACCGCUGAAUUAAGCAUAUCAAUAAGCGGAGGCUUCAUUUCUUUUCCUCUAAGCUUCUGUCAACCGUACUGUUAUAUUAUAUUUUAUAAUUUAUUUAAUUAAUUUUAUAGAAU
rnacentral:rRNA from 1 species